UACGGAGGGUGCAAGCGUUAUCCGGAUUUAUUGGGUUUAAAGGGAGCGUAGGCGGCUUGUUAAGUCAGGGGUGAAAGACGGUGGCUCAACCAUCGCAGUGCCUUUGAUACUGACGAGCUUGAAUAUAGUUGAGGUAGGCGGAAUGUGACAAGUAGCGGUGAAAUGCAUAGAUAUGUCACAGAACACCGAUUGCGAAGGCAGCUUACUAAGCUAUUAUUGACGCUGAGGCUCGAAAGCGUGGGGAUCAAACAGG
rnacentral:rRNA from 1 species